rnacentral:rRNA from 1 species
CCUACGGGUGUCUGCAGUGAGGAAUAUUUGUCAAUGGGCUUACGCCUGAACCAGCCCAGUCGCGUGAGGGAAGACUGCCCUAUGGGUUGUAAACCUCUUUUGUCAGUGCGCAACGCCGGCUACGUGUAGCCGGACUGAGAGUACCUGAAGAACACGCAUCGGCUCACUCCGUGCCAGCAGCCGCGGUAAUACGGGUGCUGCGAGCGUUUUCCGGCUUUCUUGGGUUUAAAUGGUGCGUAGGCGGAAUGCCAAGUCAGCGGUAAAAUCGCGGGGCUCAACCUCGCUCCGCCGUUGAAACUGGCGUUCUUGAGUGGGCGAGAAGUAUGCGGAAUGCGUGGUGUAGCGGUGAAAUGCAUAGAUAUCACGCAGAACUCCGAUUGCGAAGGCAGCAUACCGGCGCCCAACUGACGCUGAAGCACGAAAGCGUGGGUAUCGAACAGGAUUAGAUACCCUAGUAGUC